rnacentral:rRNA from 1 species
UACAGAGGUGCCGAGCGUUAGGCGGAAUCACUGGGCUUAAAGCGUGUGUAGGCGGAUGCCUAAGUACCUUGUGAAAUCCCACGGCUUAACCGUGGAACUGCUCGGUAUACUGGGUGUCUUGAGCCACUUAGGGGUUACCGGAACAAAUGGUGGAGCGGUGAAAUGCGUAGAUAUCAUUUGGAACGCCAAUGGUGAAAACAGGUAACUGGGAGUGUGCUGACGCUGAGACACGAAAGCCAGGGGAGCGAACGGG